rnacentral:ncRNA from 1 species
AGCUUAGCCGCACUCUCAGGUGCUGGUGGAUGCGUCCGCCAGUGAAACGGGAAGUCGGUGAAUGCAUUCCGACGCUGCCCCCGCAACGGUGAUCGAGGAGAGAACGGCCAUCACGCCACUGUGCCAGCGCACGGGAAGGCGGUCGUUCGGUACGUCGGGCCUGCCUCAUGCCCGCCACCCACUCGUCAGCCCGGAGACCGGCCCGAGAGCUCAUGCCGAG